rnacentral:rRNA from 1 species
AGUGAACGCUGGCGGUAGGCCUAACACAUGCAAGUCGAACGGCAGCACAGGAGAGCUUGCUCUCUGGGUGGCGAGUGGCGGACGGGUGAGGAAUACAUCGGAAUCUGCCCAGUCGUGGGGGAUAACGUAGGGAAACUUACGCUAAUACCGCAUACGACCUUCGGGUGAAAGAGGGGGAUCGCAAGACCUCUCGCGAUUGGAUGAGCCGAUGUCGGAUUAGCUAGUUGGCGGGGUAAUGGCCCACCAAGGCGACGAUCCGUAGCUGGUCUGAGAGGAUGAUCAGCCACACUGGAACUGAGACACGGUCCAGACUCCUACGGGAGGCAGCAGUGGGGAAUAUUGGACAAUGGGCGCAAGCCUGAUCCAGCCAUACCGCGUGGGUGAAGAAGGCCUUCGGGUUGUAAAGCCCUUUUGUUGGGAAAGAAAUCUUUCAGGCUAAUACCCUGGGAGGAUAACGGUACCCAAAGAAUAAGCACCGGCUAACUUCGUG